rnacentral:rRNA from 1 species
AGAGUUUGAUUCUGGCUCAGGAUGAACGCUAGCUACAGGCUUAACACAUGCAAGUCGAGGGGUAGCAGGGUAGCAAUACCGCUGACGACCGGCGCACGGGUGAGUAACACGUAUCCAACCUUCCCAUAACUCUGGGAUAGCCUUUCGAAAGAAAGAUUAAUACCGGAUGGUACUUUUUCAAGGCAUCUUGAGAAAGUUAAAGAUUUAUUGGUUAUGGAUGGGGAUGCGUUCCAUUAGAUAGUUGGUGAGGUAACGGCUCACCAAGUCUUCGAUGGAUAGGGGUUCUGAGAGGAACGGUCCCCCACAUUGGUACUGAGACACGGACCAAACUCCUACGGGAGGCAGCAGUGAGGAAUAUUGGUCAAUGGGCGAGAGCCUGAACCAGCCAAGUAGCGUGAAGGAAUGAAGGUCCUAUGGAUUGUAAACUUCUUUUAUAGUAGAAUAAAGUGACCCACGUGUGGGUUUUUGUAUGUAUACUAUGAAUAAGGAUCGGCUAACUCCGUGCCAGCAGCUGC